AGACUUCAGUUUCUGUUCUCUAUCGAUUUUUCAGCCAUGUCUGUCGACUUUGAUUUUCUCUGCUAAAAUAACUUGUGGGCAAAUUUCCACUGUUCGCUAUAGUUGUGUCUUGUCUUCAGUUAUGCUUGGAGUCCCCUUUAAGAGAUGGUGUUCCCCCCACCCCCCCAUGCUGAAAAAUUCAUCCCUCAGGUUGAUAGCACAGCAGGCAGGCAGGCAUUUUCCUUUCUGUCUUUCAUGUAAUGACCGUGAAAUCCCUUCCAUAAGAACAUAGAGGUUUUGUUCUGUUCUGUUUCUAUUUUCAGAACAAUAAGUCUCCAAUGCACCACCACCCACCGGAAAAAGAGCACACAGUGACUGACAAGGAACCCUGGGUGGCAGGUACUAUUGGCACCAUUUUCCAGAUAAAGAAAAUGAAGUUCUAAGCAGUCAAAUGACAUGUCAAGAUCACCCAACUGAUAUGAAAGGCAAGAUUCAAGGAUCACACCAACUAGAGG
rnacentral:lncRNA from 1 species